CUUGCAGCCUCACAACUAUCCCAGGACACACAAUCUCAACUGCACCAUAUCCGGGAGGAACAAGAGCGACUCCUACUGGCCCAGCUGGGAGAGCUGGACCCAGAGACUGUGGAAAGAAUUGAAAAUACAAAGCAAAUUUUCCAGGAAAUACCCUGUGCCAGUGAGCUGAUCAGUGAGAUGGAGGGGACUGCUCAACAGCCAGUGAGUGAAUUCCUGCAGGGAAGGGAAAUUCAUGAACUUGUUCGGGUCCAUGUUCCAGGAGAAUUUGCCGCACACUGUCAUCACAUCUGAGCCGUGAAGCUGGGUCCCCAUAUUGUAACUUGUUUGUAACUUCCUCAUCCUUUCUUCCUUCUACUUCAUUUACUUCAAU